UACGGAAGGCAGCAGUGGGGAAUAUUGCACAAUGGGCGCAAGCCUGAUGCAGCCAUGCCGCGUAUAUGAAGAAGGCCUUCGGGUUGUAAAGUACUUUCAGUCGUGAGGAAGGUGUUAAGGUUAAUAACCUUAGCAAUUGACGUUAGCGACAGAAGAAGCACCGGCUAACUCCGUGCCAGCAGCCGCGGUAAUACGGAGGGUGCGAGCGUUAAUCGGAAUUACUGGGCGUAAAGGGCACGCAGGCGGUUAAUUAAGUUGGAUGUGAAAUCCCCGGGCUUAACCUGGGAAUGGCAUUCAAGCUGGUUAGCUAGAGUCUUGUAGAGGGGGUAGAAUUCCAUGUGUAGCGGUGAAAUGCGUAGAGAUGUGGAGGAAUACCGGUGGCGAAGGCGGCCCCUGGACAAAGACUGACGCUCAUGUGCGAAAGCGUGGGGAACAAACAGGGAUUAGAUACC
rnacentral:rRNA from 1 species